rnacentral:rRNA from 1 species
GACGAACUGUGCAAACGUUAUUCGGAAUCACUGGGCUUGAAGAGUGCGUAGGCGGUUUUGUAAGUAGGGUGUGAAAGCCCCCGGCCCAACCGGGGAAUUGCGCCCUAAACUGCAAGGCUCGAGUGAGGUAGGGGUGUGUGGAACUUCUAGUGGAGCGGUGAAAUGUGUUGAUAUUAGAAGGAACGCCGGUGGCGAAAGCGACACACUGGACCUUGUCUGACGCUGAGGCACGAAAGCCAGGGGAGCAAACGGG